CCCGCUGAACUUAAGCAUAUCAAUAAGCGGAGGAAAAGAAACUAACAAGGAUUCCCCUAGUAGCUGCGAGCGAAAAGGGAUCAGCUCAAAACCGAAUCUGGUCGCCCUUGCGGCGGUCCGAAAUGUGGUUUAAGGACUUGGCUCGGGAAGGUUGCAGCGGUAUAAGUCACCUGGAACGGUGCGCCAUAGAGGGUGAUAGCCCCGUGAAACCGUUGUCGGCCGUCCCGCAUGAGCUUAGCCCCAAGAGUCGCACUGUUUGAGAGUACAGUGCUAAGACGGGAGGUGAGUAUCUCCUAAAGCUAAAUAUUUGUCUGAGUCCGAUAGCGCACAAGUACCGUGAGGGAAAGUUGCAAAGAACUUUGAAAAGAGAGUUAAAAGAACCUGAAAUCGCUAACGGGGAAGGGCUCGGGCAAAUCGCGGCCUCUUGAAUUCCCUCUGUAUAAAUCUGUUCAAACCGGAUGGUAGAGCCGCACUUUUGUGGCCGUCCGACUGGCGCGCGCGGGUGCUACGGAGCUACUUUUCUAAGCCGGGUGGGUUCAACGAGAAGCGGCUGAUUGGGGCGUAAGCGGGGUAUUCAUGGAUUGGUUAAUUUCGGUUUGUGGAACGAAAGCUGAUGUUUUCCGGCUGCCCACCGUUGAUAACUAUGGACUGCGCCUUUUUGGCUGGGUCCGGGCGGGGAUUUGCUGUUUGAGGGAUCUGGGCACAUUUAUGUACCCGGGUUAUGAGAAUGGCACUGAACCGCCCGCCCGUGCAGGACUUCCCACCAUAGUCGAGGGACCUGAGCCUCCCGUCUUGAAACACGG
rnacentral:rRNA from 1 species